rnacentral:rRNA from 1 species
ACGUUAGCGGCGGACGGGUGAGUAACACGUGGGUAACCUACCUAUAAGACUGGGAUAACUUAGGGAAACCGGAGCUAAUACCGGAUAAUAUUUCGAACCGCAUGGUUCGAUAGUGAAAGAUGGUUUUGCUAUCACUUAUAGAUGGACCCGCGCCGUAUUAGCUAGUUGGUAAGGUAACGGCUUACCAAGGCGACGAUACGUAGCCGACCUGAGAGGGUGAUCGGCCACACUGGAACUGAGACACGGUCCAGACUCCUACGGGAGGCAGCAGGC